CUGGACUGAACCUUCGGGUGACGAUCAGCAGAGGACAGUGGCGAAAGGGUGAGUAACGCGUGAGUAACCUACCUCUAUGCUGGGGACAGCCCAUGGAAACGUGGGCUAAUACCGAAUGUGAUCCUUCAACGCAUGUUGAGGUGAUUAAAGAUGGGGACCCUUCGGGGCCUGUCACAUAGAGAGGGACUCGCGUCCUAUCAGUUAGUUGGUGAGGUAAUGGCUCACCAAGGCAAAGACGGGUAGCCGGCCUGAGAGGGUGACCGGCCACACUGGGACUGAGACACUGCCCAGACUCCUACGGGAGGCUGCAGUCGAGAAUCAUUCGCAAUGCCCGAAAGGA
rnacentral:rRNA from 1 species